CGACUGCGAGCUGCGGUAAUCACGGGGCAGAGGGCCAAGGGGCAUUGGUGGGCGGUUACUUCCGGCGGACAUAGUCCAAUCAUGGAGCCAAAGAGCCAGUCCCCUAUAAAAACCAGAAGAGGCGGGCUCCUCAUUCUUUCCGUGUUCUUGCGCCUUUUUGGAGUGGAGAUGGAGCUCGUGAAGUCCUGUUGCGAACCUCAGCUCAGUAGGGCCCCGCUGCUUCCGAGUUUGAGGCAGGGAUUGGCGGUGCCUGCUGGCCUCACCCUUCCUCUCUCACCCUUUCGGCCCAUCCUCCUGCAAGUGGAGCUCUCCUGCGGCGCCGCCGGACGGUCGAGGUGUACCCUGUGCUGUGGAUGAACUACCAAACAGAUUUUAAAAAGAAGACCCUGGAGAUUAGCCAUGCAAAAAUUCACAAUCAAACAGUGAACACAAAUUGUGAAAUUUUACUAUUAAAACCAAGGAUCAGGGGCGGCUAGUUGGCACAGUGGAUGAAGCACCGCCCCUGGAUUCAGGAGGACCUGAGUUCAAAUCUGGCCUCAGACACUUGACACUUAACUAGCUGUGUGACCUUGGGCAAGUCACUUAACCCCCACUGCAGGGGGCCCCCCCACCCCCAAAAGGGGAAAAAAACCAAAAACAAGGAUCAAUCUGACCCAACAAGCAUAUUGUAGCCAUUGUGACAUAAAAGAUUCUCCAAGCAUAUUGAUUAUUUGAAUCAACAUUUGGUUGCUUUGAGGAACAGGGUUCAGUAAGUGACCUUUCAUGAACAGGCAGACCCUGUUCAGUUAGUAAUGAGGCCACAGUUGAGUGUGUAAGGAAGUGUUGCUGAAGACCCAAGUGCUGUGGAUGAACUUAACCACCAAACAGAUUCUGGGAUGAUAUCAAGCUACAACAAUUUCUCCUGCAUACAUUUCUGUUUGUGUUGUGGAUCUUAGGGCUCCUGAUUUCUUCCCGUGGGGCUAUCUCAAAGAAAAAGUUUGUUAGCAAGACUCAGACACUCCAAGAGCUGAAGAAUGGUAUUCGGGCCAAAAUCAGUCCUGGAACCUGAAACACUAAGAGGUGUCAUGGAAGAGGUUUAGGAAGGCCACGUUUGUGUGGAGCAGAAAAUGGACAUUUAUAAGAUUUGAUUUUUCACACAUGAUAUAAAUUCUGGUAUUGCGAAUUAAAAACAAAGGAGUUAUUAAAAAUUGAAACCCCUUUGACUUUUCGUUCGCCCUUUAUAUUAUGUCAUUAAUUGUAAUUGAAGUUCUUCUGAAUAAACUGAA